UCUUUUUUUUUUUUUUGGUAAUGAAUAUUUUGGUCAAUUCUAAUCCUUAAAUUAUCUGGGGUGUAAAGAACGAAAAUGGGAGAUGGAAUUCUGUAAAUUUGCUUGUAACAUGUAAUAAUCGAUAGAUGUGGGGCUAAUGCACUUGUACCGCAGACCUUUGUUUUGUUCUCUUACAAAGUCCCAAUGGUCACUAAUGGGUCAAGAGCAUUAUUCUGCCAGUUUCAUUUUCCUUAAGUUAUCUAAAACUAUUAAGUUAUCUAAAACUAUUGCAGAGGUAAUGAGAGGCUGAUUUAACUAGUUCAUUGGUCAUGUCUGGCUUGCUUGAUAUUACAGCAUGGUAAUAGGAUUCUUUCUGGGUAAUUGUUCAUAUCUAUUCCUAUCUAUAUGAGAUUAGGUAACUCUUUUUGGCGGCCAUUUUCAAUCAAACAGCAGAAAUAGGUUUCCAUUCCCCCUUUUGUACAGUUUGACUCUUAGUGAUGCCUAGCUGAUAUUAUUAGAUUGCUUUUAGAAUUGAAUUUUUCAGACCUGUAACUUUUAUUUAAUACUUGCUUGCUUACUUAAUAUACUAUCCGUUUCCAUGUUUGAUGUUUAAGGCAUAGACAUUUAAAUGGUUACUCAGACAGAACAGCUGGUUUGCUGGCCUCUCUUUGGUUUUGUGCUUGAAAGGUAUUGUGGAGUUGAGCUGCAUUAGGUGUAAAUUUGCUUUAGAAUGAGGAAAAUGUCCACCAAUGCUGAUGUUAUGUUUUCAUUUGUUCAAACUAUCCUUUGAUAUAAUGCAAAUCCACAAGUGCUUCUUAAUACAUGACUAAAGUACAUUACCCUGACUCAGAAUCUUCUAAUAAGUCUAGGAAGUUCACGACUAUUUGAAGACUCUUUGUCCUGACUUGCAUAUUACUCGAGGUGAAUAUGAUGAAGAAAUGCGAUAUCCAGAAACCAAAACGCUUACUAUUGGUCAAUUCAAGUUGGGGCUUUGCCAUGGUCAUCAGGUUAUUCCAUGGGGGAACUUAGACUCACUAGCAAUGCUCCAGAGACAACUGGAUGUAGACAUACUUGUGACGGGUCAUACACAUCAGUUCACAGCUUACAAACAUGAAGGAGGAGUCGUUAUAAACCCAGGGUCUGCCACAGGUGCCUACAGCAGCAUUACCUAUGAUGUAAAUCCUAGCUUUGUGCUCAUGGACAUUGAUGGCUUGCGGGUCGUAGUGUAUGUGUACGAACUCAUUGAUGGAGAGGUUAAAGUUGACAAGAUUGAUUUUAAGAAGACGACUACCACUACUCACUCUGCUCAUUGAAGCUAAAGCUCAACAGUAUUUAGUUUGAAUUUCCUCAAAAUCUGAUCUCAGCGUGUAAUCUAUGUGUGAUCCGCUAUUGUGCAUGUUUUGAGUGCUGGAAUCUUUUGGUUUGUUUGUGAUUAUUACUGAUUAACCA
rnacentral:misc_RNA from 1 species